GAGUUUGAUCGUGGCUCAGGACGAACGCUGGCGGUAUGCCUAAUACAUGCAAGUCGAGCGCAGGAAGCAGACUGAAGCCUUCGGGUGGAUGUCUGUGGAAUGAGCGGCGGAUGGGUGAGUAUCACGUGGGUAACCUGCCUGUAAGCUUGGGGAUAACUCCGGGAAACCGGUGCUAAUACCAGAUAAGAUUUCCGUUCGCAUGAACGGAAAAUGAAAGGCGGCUUUUGCUGUCACUUACAGAUGGACCCGCGUCGCAUUAGCUAGUUGGUGGGGUAAAGGCUCACCAAAGCAACGAUGCGUAGCCGACCUGAGAGGGUGAUCGGCCACACUGGGACUGAGACACGGCCCAGACUCCUACGGGAGGCAGCAGUAGGGAAUCUUCCGCAAUGGACGAAAGUCUGACGGAGCAAUACCGCGUGAGUGAUGAAGGUCUUCGGAUCGUAAAACUCUGUUGUUAAGGAAGAACAAGUGCUAAUCUAAUACAUUAGUGCCCUGACGGUACCUAACCAGAAAGCCCC
rnacentral:rRNA from 1 species